rnacentral:rRNA from 1 species
UACGGAGGGGGCGAGCGUUAUUCGGAAUUAUUGGGCGUAAAGGGCGCGUAGGCGGCCCGGUAAGUCAAAGGUGAAAUCCCUCGGCUCAACUGAGGAACUGCCUUUGAAACUGUCGGGCUUGAGGCCGGGAGGGGGUAGCGGAAUUCCCAGUGUAGCGGUGAAAUGCGUAGAUAUUGGGAGGAACACCAGUGGCGAAGGCGGCUACCCUGGGACCGGUUCUGACGCUGAUGCGCGAAAAGCGUGGGGAGCAAAUCGG